UACAGAGGGGGCAAGCGUUGUUCGGAAUUACUGGGCGUAAAGGGCUCGUAGGCGGCCAACUAAGUCAUACGUGAAAUCCCUCAGCUUAACUGGGGAACUGCGUGUGAUACUGGAUGGCCUGGAUUUGGGAGAGGGAUGCGGAAUUCCAGGUGUAGCGGUGAAAUGCGUAGAUAUCUGGAGGAACACCGGUGGCGAAGGCGGCAUCCUGGACCAAUAUUGACGCUGAGGAGCGAAAGCCAGGGGAGCAAACGGG
rnacentral:rRNA from 1 species